UACGUAGGUGGCAAGCGUUGUUCGGAAUUAUUGGGCGUAAAGGGCGCGUAGGCGGUUUGUUAAGUCGGCUGUGAAAGCCUGGGGCUCAACCCCAGAGGGUCGGCCGAUACUGGCAAACUAGAGUACGGAAGAGGUAGCUGGAAUUCCUGGUGUAGCGGUGAAAUGCGUAGAUAUCAGGAAGAACACCGGUGGCGAAAGCGCUCUGCUAGGCCGCAACUGACACUGAGGAGCGAAAGCAUGGGGAGCGAACAGG
rnacentral:rRNA from 1 species